rnacentral:rRNA from 1 species
UACGUAGGUGGCAAGCGUUAUCCGGAUUUAUUGGGCGUAAAGGGAACGCAGGCGGUCUUUUAAGUCUGAUCUGAAAGCCUUCGGCUUAACCGGAGUAGUGCAUUAGAAACUGGGAGACUUGAGUGCAGAAGAGGAGAGUGGAACUCCAUGUGUAGCGGUGAAAUGCGUAGAUAUAUGGAAGAACACCAGUGGCGAAAGCGGCUCUCUGGUCUGUAACUGACGCUGAGGUUCGAAAGCGUGGGUAGCAAACAGG